AGGAAAGGGAGACCGGAGUGAUGUUGAAGUGGGCAGGGUCUGAGAGGCCAGCUGUGAUCAAGGGAGAAGCAGGAGUAUAAGUUCCCCAGUUCCUGUUGCCAGCGUCACUUUCUAAACCGGCAAGCAGUAGCAAACUUCCACAUCUCAUUUUUCAUUUCAUUCUUUGCCUAAACUUCUCCAAAAUGAGCUUCCGAAGAACCAACGUGCAGCAGAUACCUUCUACAUACAUCACCAUGACUCGCUCUACACCUCAUUACCGUGCUGCCAGCAUUUAUGGUGGCGCUGGUGGUGAGGGCGCCCGCAUUUCCACUGCACCUUCUCUGCGUUCCAGUGCCCCAUUCUCCUCGUCUUCAACUGCCUUCAGGUUGAGCAGUGGAAUGGGUGGUGGUAUGGGUGGUGGUAUGGGUGGUGGUAUGAGUGCAGGUUUUGGUGGUGCUGGUGCAUCUGUGUUGGCUAAUAGUAGUGCCCAUGCUGGGAUCCUGGGCAAUGAGAAGGGAGCCAUGCAAAACCUGAAUGACCGCCUGGCCAAUUACCUGGAGACGGUGAGGAGCCUGGAGCAGGCCAACAAGGGGCUGGAGGAGAAAAUCAUUGAGGCCCUGGAGAAGGGAAGGCCUGACAUGAGAGACUACAGCAAGCAUGAACCCAUCGUUGAUGACCUACGCAAAAAGAUCUUCGAUAAAAUAGCAGAGAAUGCUCGUUUUGUGCUGCAGAUUGACAACGCUCGUCUUGCUGCUGAUGACUUCAAAGUUAAGUUCGAAAAUGAGAUGGCAAUUCGCCAGUCAGUGGAGGCUGACAUUGCUGGGCUGAAGAAAGUCAUAGAUGACACCAACAUGAGCCGGUUGAACAUUGAGAGUGAGAUAGAUGCUGUGAAGGAGGAGCUCGCCUUCCUGAAGAAGAACCAUGAGAAUGAGGUGAUGGAGAUAAGGAAUCAGAUCACCCAGUCAGGUGUGCAGGUGGAUGUAGAUGCUCCUAAAGGUCAGGACCUAGCGCAGAUCAUAGCGGACGUGAGGGCCACCUAUGAGAAGAUUGCCGUAAAGAAUGCAGAGGACCUCAAACAAUGGCAUGAAAAUCAGAUUGCAGACGUACAGGCGCAGGUAUCACAGAACACAGAAGCUCUCCAGGGGGCCCAGAUGCAGAAGAAUGACUUGGCCAGACAGAUACAGACUCUGGAAAUUGAACUUGCAUCCCAGCAGAGCUUAAAAGCCUCCUUAGAAGAUACACUACGCAACACAGAGCUAAGAAACAACCUAGAAAUAGAGAAGAACAAUGCUAUUAUUAUUCGCCUGGAGGAGGAGCUGACGAGCUUGCGGGCAAAUAUCCAGAAUCAGACCCAGGAGUAUGAGGCGCUCCUCAACCUGAAGAUGAAGCUGGAGGCAGAGAUUGCCACUUACAAGACUCUUCUGGAUGGUGGAGACUUCAAGUAAGAGUUAUAAGGAGGUGAAGGAGAAAAAACUGAUCAAGUCAAGGUGAUGAUGGUGGUGGAGGCUCCAGGAUGCACUGGAUGAACUGCAAGCCACAAGCUAACUUGAACAAAGGAUCUGGGACAAUCCCAACAAUGAAAGCAAAGCAAACCACAUCUAUCAAUUAUAGGAAAAAAUGUUCUACUGGUCCAACAGCUACAGCCAUGUUUGACACCACAUUCUGUGUAAACUGUAUGUGAUUUAAGCAAUUCAGAAUAAACACAUUACUCCAGAUUACAGUGAAACAGGCAGGGCUUUCAAAAGCAACCACUGCCUAACCUGGCAGCACAAUAAAAAAAGAAUAAAGCUUGUUGACCCACAGUCACAAUACUUGUACAUUU